GGAGGAAUAUUGGGCAAUGGGGGAAACCCUGACCCAGCAACGCCGCGUGAAGGAAGAAGGCCUUCGGGUUGUAAACUUCUGUGACAGGGGACGAAAGAAAUGACGGUACCCUGAGAGGAAGCCACGGCAAACUACGUGCCAGCAGCCGCGGUAAUACGUAGGUGGCGAGCGUUGUCCGGAAUCACUGGGCGUAAAGGGCGCGUAGGCGGCUUGACAAGUCGCAUGUGAAGGACCAGGGCUCAACCCUGGGAGGUCAUGCGAAACUGUCUGGCUUGAGUGCAGUAGAGGUAAGCGGAAUUCCUGGUGUAGCGGUAAAAUGCGUAGAGAUCAGGAGGAACACCGGUGGCGAAGGCGGCUUACUGGGCUGCAACUGACGCUGAUGCGCGAAAGCGUGGGGAGCAAACAGG
rnacentral:rRNA from 1 species